rnacentral:lncRNA from 1 species
AUGGGGAUUUUACUGCUCCUGCUGAGCCUCAUCCUACCGGGACACACCCAGAGGUCACCCUGUAACUGUGAUGGGCUGAGAGGGGAGAAGGGGGGCGCAGGAGCCCCAGGCUACCAUGGACUACCGGGGAUGAUUGGUUACCCUGGCAACGAAGGCCCCCCAGGGCCCUCUGGAGCCAAGGUGAGGGGUUUUAUUAUAUAUUAUAAUAUUAUAUUUUGAUUAGAAUAUCGAUGUUCUUUUUUUUUUUUAAAUAGUCACACAGUGUAACUUUAAAAUGCUUUCAGGGUCACCAAGGUCUUGUUGGAAGCUCAGGACCAAAAGGCUCCAGGGUAAGAUGUCUCUCUUUAUCUCUUUAUAUAUUAAUAUAUAGAGAUAUAUAGAGAGAUAAAGAUGUAUAUCUUUCUAUGCAUCCUUAUUAACACUUUAAUUCAUUGGACUUGGAGUAUGUUUGCAGGGGCUCCAACCUAUGAUUAACCAUAAGAACCAAGCAUGUUUUCCUCCCAUGUCCUGCAGGGUCUUCCUGGAAAACCAGGAUUCCCUGGUACUCCAGCUCAGCCAGUGAGAAGCACACAAACACACAUGCACAACACACACACAAUCAUUUUCAAAAUUAUAUAUUUUUAAAAUAAUUUAAAAAAUCUAUCUAUAUUAAUCACAUCAGUUUGGUGGUGUAGAAGGACACUAACAGCUAAACUGGGUGGUUUAGAAGGACACUAUCCCUGCAGCUGGUUUGUGUAGAAGUACACCACCUCAACCUGAUGUUGAAAGUAUUGUAUGGAUACAGUGAAUACCUGAGUUAAAAUACAGCAGAUAUAGUAAACAUAUUUGUAUCAUUCCCUAGGGAAUACCUGGCAGUGAAGGACCUAUCGGCCAGCCAGGACUCCCAGGAUGCAAUGGGACAAAGGUGAACCUGGUCUAAAUAUAAUCUAAAUGUAAUGAAUGGUCAAUCAGGUAAUGAAUGCAUAUUGAGAAGUUUCUUUGUCUUUUUAGGGAGGAGAGGGGUAUCUGGGGCUGCCUGGUGUUCCAGGUCCGGUUGGGUUACCAGUAAGUUAUCACAUUUAGUAACAACACCUACAAACCUAAAUUUAUUAUGAUCACAUUUAGUAGCGACAUCUACAAACCUUAAUAUGUUAUGAUCACAUUUAGUAGCAACAUCUACAAACCUAAAUAUAUUAUGAUCUCAUUAA